rnacentral:pre_miRNA from 1 species
AGAGGGGAGGGGGGUUCCUUCAGCCUGGAUUGCGAGAGGGCGCAGGCCAGGCCGAGAGACCCCACUGGUGCAUG